GACGAACGCUGGCGGCGUGCCUAACACAUGCAAGUCGAACGGAGUGGCGAACGGGUGAGUAACACGUGGGUGAUCUGCCUUGCACUUCGGGUUAAGCUUGGGAAACUGGGUCCAACACCGGAUAGUGCAAGAUGAGCUCGCGGCCUAUCAGCUUGUUGGUGGGGUAAUGGCCUACCAAGGCGUCGACGGGUAGCCGGCCUGCGAGGGUGUACGGCCACAUUGGGACUGAGAUACGGCACAGACUCCAACGGGGGGCAGUGGGGGGGAAUAUUACGCAAUGGGCGGGAGCCUGAUGCAGCGGCGCCGCGUGGGGGAUGAAGGCCUUCGGGUUGUAAACUCCUUUCGACAGGGACGCGGUACCUAUAUAAGAAGCACCGGCUAACUACGUGCCAGCAGCCGCGGUAAUUC
rnacentral:rRNA from 1 species